GAUGAACGCUAGCUACAGGCUUAACACAUGCAAGUCGAGGGGCAGCAUGAACUUAGCUUGCUAAGUUUGAUGGCGACCGGCGCACGGGUGAGUAACACGUAUCCAACCUGCCGAUGACUCGGGGAUAGCCUUUCGAAAGAAAGAUUAAUACCCGAUGGUAUCUUAAGCACGCAUGAGAUUAAGAUUAAAGAUUUAUCGGUAAGCGAUGGGGAUGCGUUCCAUUAGGCAGUUGGCGGGGUAACGGCCCACCAAACCUACGAUGGAUAGGGGUUCUGAGAGGAAGGUCCCCCACAUUGGAACUGAGACACGGUCCAA
rnacentral:rRNA from 1 species